rnacentral:pre_miRNA from 1 species
UGGGCGCCUGGAAGGCAAGAUGUCGGCAUAGCUGAUGAAUUUCGAUAUUCGGCUGUGUCACAUCCAGCCAACC